UCCCUUCUUAAGCUGCCCUCCCUGCCACCGGAAGUGACUCCCCUCAGCAAGGCCAAGGUGGCUCACGUGUCCCAGCACCCUUUCAUCUCUGCCCUUCUCUCUCGAGUGACAGCAUGACGUGACAUGAGGGCUCUCCAGCCAUGGCCUUGCAGCCCUCUUGGGGUCUUGCUGUCACCCAGGCUGGAGUGCGGUGGUAAGAUCAGGACUCACUGCAGCCUUGAACUCCGGGACUCAAGGGAUCCUUCUGCCUCAGCCUCCUGAGUAGCUGGGGCCACAAGCGCAUGCCACUGUGGCUGGUUAAUCUUUCCAUUUUCUGUAGAGACUGGUCUCACUAUGUGCCCAGGCUGGUCUCCAACUAGUGGCCUCAAGUGAUUCCUCACCUGGACCUUCCAAAGUGCUGGGAUUACAGUUGUGGGCCACCAUGCACCGGGCCUGUUCUGUUUUCUUGAAGCACUUGCC
rnacentral:lncRNA from 1 species